AUGAGUUGGAAGCGCAGAGAGCGAUGGAGGAGGAGAACCGAGAGCGGCGACGGCGAGAGGGCGAGGGAAGGGGAACCGCGGCGGCUUGAGAAGACGAACAGAUCUGCGGCCAGCAAUGGCAGCAUCGAUCUGGAUCUUCUUGACUGCACCAUCUGCAUGGAUCCCCUCCGCCCUCCGGUCCUCCAGUGCACAGUUGGGCAUGUAAUCUGCUCGUCCUGCCAUGGCAGCCUACUGAACAAGGACAGCUGCCACAUGUGCACGGCCACCGGCGGCUACAAUCGAUGCAUCGCGCUCGACAAAAUUCUUGAGUCAUUCUGUGUUUCCUGCUCCAAUGCCGUGUACGGGUGCACUGUGAAGACACUCUACUACAAGGCUAAAGAUCAUCGCAAUUUGUGCCCGCACGCGCCAUGUUUCUGCCCAGGACCCGCCUGCAGCUUUGCCGGCACAACCGUCAAGCUCCUGGCUCAUCUCACCGGCGAUCACAAGUGGAAAUCCAAGGAGGUUAAGUACGACGCCAAGUUCACUCUGCCUGUCAAAGAAGGGACGUGGGUUCUCCAUGCCCAAGGCCACGCGCCCCUGUUCCUGGUGAAAUUCACCCCGGCGCCGCCUUUCGGCAACGUCGCCUCCGUCCUGUGCGUCGGUCCUCAUGCCACUGCUGAGCAUAGGUUCAGGUGCUGUCUUCGUUGCAGUGGCCCCGCCAUCGGUCAGCAGAAAUCCUCUGAUUUCCUGGUCAGGAGCACCACCCUCUCCGAUGGGUUACAGCUGACAGAGUAUGAUGGCUCCUUACUGUUUGCUUCUAGCACCCGCAGCAUCACUGCCCAUAUCAGAGAUGUAGUGCGUGACAAGCAUAAGCGUGGGAUGUCGAUCCGUUUGCGGUAG
rnacentral:rRNA from 1 species